rnacentral:rRNA from 1 species
AGAGUUUGAUCCUGGCUCAGAGCGAACGUUAGCGGCAGGCCUAACACAUGCAAGUCGCACGAGAAUUCGGCUUCGGCCGAUAGUAAAGUGGCGGACGGGUGCGUAACACGUGGAUAAUCUGCCUCCGGCGGGGGAUAACUGUCCGAAAGGAUAGCUAAUACCGCAUUCGUCAGCGAGGUCUUCGGACCUUGCUGGGAAAG